rnacentral:rRNA from 1 species
GAUGAACGCUGGCGGCGUGCCUAAUACAUGCAAGUCGAGCGAACAGACGAGGAGCUUGCUCCUCUGACGUUAGCGGCGGACGGGUGAGUAACACGUGGAUAACCUACCUAUAAGACUGGGAUAACUUCGGGAAACCGGAGCUAAUACCGGAUAAUAUAUUGAACCGCAUGGCUCAAUAGUGAAAGACGGUUUUGCUGUCACUUAUAGAUGGAUCCGCGCCGCAUUAGCUAGUUGGUAAGGUAACGGCUUACCAAGGCAACGAUGCGUAGCCGACCUGAGAGGGUGAUCGGCCACACUGGAACUGAGACACGGUCCAGACUCCUACGGGAGGCAGCAGUAGGGAAUCUUACGCAAUGGGCGAAAGCUUGACGGAGCAACGCCGCGUGAGUGAUGAAGGUCUUCGGAUCGUAAAACUCUGUUAUUAGGGAAGAACAAAUGUGUAAGUAACUAUGCACGUCUUGACGGUACCUAAUCAGAAAGCCACGGCUAACUACGUG